UACGUAGGUGGCAAGCGUUGUCCGGAAUUAUUGGGCGUAAAGCGCGCGCAGGCGGUCCCUUAAGUCUGAUGUGAAAGCCCACGGCUCAACCGUGGAGGGUCAUUGGAAACUGGGGGACUUGAGUGCAGAAGAGGAAAGUGGAAUUCCAUGUGUAGCGGUGAAAUGCGUAGAGAUGUGGAGGUACACCAGUGGCGAAGGCGACUUUCUGGUCUGUAACUGACGCUGAGGCGCGAAAGCGUGGGGAGCAAACAGG
rnacentral:rRNA from 1 species